UGGGGAAUAUUGCACAAUGGGCGCAAGCCUGAUGCAGCCAUGCCGCGUGUAUGAAGAAGGCCUUCGGGUUGUAAAGUACUUUCAGCGGGGAGGAAGGGAGUAAAGUUAAUACCUUUGCUCAUUGACGUUACCCGCAGAAGAAGCACCGGCUAACUCCGUGCCAGCAGCCGCGGUAAUACGGAGGGUGCAAGCGUUAAUCGGAAUUACUGGGCGUAAAGCGCACGCAGGCGGUUUGUUAAGUCAGAUGUGAAAUCCCCAGGCUCAACCUGGGAACUGCAUCUGAUACUGACAAGCUUGAGUCUCGUAGAGGGGGGUAGAAUUCCUGCUGUGGCGGUGAAAUGCGUAGAGAUCUGGAGGAAUACCGGUGGCGGAGGCGGCCCCCUGGACGAAGACUGACGCUCAGGUGCGAAAGAGUGGGGAGCAAACAGG
rnacentral:rRNA from 1 species